GAUAGAUAGAUAGAUAGAUAGAUUAGAUAGAUUCAGGAGAUAGAGCGGCUCCAACCAGAAUUGCCAUAAUUUUGUGUGGUGACUUCAUCACUGUGCUUUUAUAAUGAGCUGCACUUUGGAAAAGGAACUCAACUCACAGUACUCGACAGAACAAGAUGAAGAAAAACCUAUCGGCUUCCUUAUGGAUAAUCCAGAGGGGAAUGUAUUUCAUGACCUUCCCAGCUGUGCAAACACUGAGCAGACCUACUUUGGAGCAGAGACCAAGCUGACUGCUUGGGAAACGGGACAGGUUUGCACACCCCCAACUGUGACCAUAUUGUCUCCAUCCAAGAGAGAACUAGAAGAAAAGCAGAAGGCUACACUUGUGUGUUUGGUCACCGAUUUCUUUCCAGAUCACAUCACUCUUACAUGGUCUCUAAAUGGCAAUUCUAUCACAGAGGGAGUAAAGACAGAGGAGCCCGUAUAUGAAAAUAAGAAGUAUUCGCUGAUCAGCCGUUUAAGAAUCACCAGGAAGCAGUGGCAGGAUUCAGAAAACACCUUCAAGUGCCAAGUUGUUUUCUACAAUUGUUCUGCAGAAAGGAACUAUGGCGAUUCCAUAACUGGAGAAAAAUGUGAUGGCAAUACCUUCACAGAUGAAUCAUAUCUCAGACAAAUCAACCUUGGAAAACUGGUGUAUAUUCUUCUCAUUUUCAAGAGUGCCUUGUAUGGGGCAUUUAUAAUGGGCUUGAAGCUAAGAAAAAAAGUCCUGGGGAAAUCAUGUUUGAGUUGAAUGAAUGCUGGAGAGAGGAGAAAAAGAAGAAGGAUUCUUGCCUUCAGAAGUCCAGAAUAGCAUUCUGGUUCUUUUUUUUUUUUUAAUAAAAAUAAUUGGUUGCCCCCCAUUUUAUCUUACUGUUCUUAUUACUAUCUCUAUUGGAGUAUAUUGUUAUAAAAUCUCAGAGCAUCUGAGGUGCAAAAGAUGGAAGCAUCUUGAACUUUUUAAAUUCUUAUAACUGAAAUCAGUAGGCUUUAAAGUGCUUAAUAUUGACUUUUGUUUUGUUUCUUUAUUUUCUUACCUGUUAAUAAAUCUUUCUUUAUUUCUGACCUGUUUUUAGUAAAAUCAUUCCU